CCUACGGGGGGCAGCAGUGGGGAAUCUUCCGCAAUGGGCGAAAGCCUGACGGAGCAACGCCGCGUGAUCGAAUGAAGGCCUUCGGGUUGUAAAGAUCUGUUGUCAGGGACGAAUAAGCAAUGCAAAUAGUUUUGUGUAUGACGGUACCUGUUUAGAAAGCACCGGCUAAAUACGUGCCAGCAGCCGCGGUAAUACAGAGGGAGCAAGCGUUGUCCGGAUUUACUGGGCGUAAAGGGCGCGUAGGUGGGCGCUGACGUCAGGUGUGAAAAGUCCGGGCUCAACCUGGAGACUGCACUUGAAACUGGGGGUCUUGAGGGCAGGAGAGGAAAGUGGAAUU
rnacentral:rRNA from 1 species